rnacentral:tRNA from 1 species
AGUUCUAUACUUUAACAAAAAGACUUGACUUGCAUUCAAAUAUUGAGACAUUACUCUAGAACUA